CAAGUCGAACGAGGUCCAUGGAGCUUGCUCCGGAAGAUCUAGUGGCGAACGGGUGCGUAACACGUGAGAAAUCUGCCCCGGACUCUGGGGUAACAGUUGGAAACGACUGCUAAUACCGGAUGCCUUCAUUUGACCGCAUGGUUGUUUGAAGAAAGAUUUAUCGGUUUGGGAGGAUCUCGCGGCCUAUCAGCUUGUUGGAGAGGUAACGGCUCACCAAGGCAUCGACGGGUAGCUGGUCUGAGAGGAUGAUCAGCCACACUGGAACUGAGACACGGUCCAGACUCCUACGGGAGGCAGCAGUGGGGAAUAUUGCACAAUGGGCGAAAGCCUGAUGCAGCCAUGCCGCGUGUGUGAAGAAGGCCUUCGGGUUGUAAAGCACUUUCAGUCAGGAGGAAAGGGUGUGAGUUAAUACCUCAUAUCUGUGACGUUACUGACAGAAGAAGCACCGGCUAACUCCGUGCCAGCAACCGCGGUAAUACGGAGGGUGCGAGCGUUAAUCGGAAUUACUGGGCGUAAAGCGUACGCAGGCGGUUUGUUAAGCGAGAUGUGAAAGCCCCGGGCUCAACCUGGGAACUGCAUUUCGAACUGGCAAACUAGAGUGUGAUAGAGGGUGGUAGAAUUUCAGGUGUAGCGGUGAAAUGCGUAGAGAU
rnacentral:rRNA from 1 species